rnacentral:rRNA from 1 species
UGGGGGAUAUUGCACAAUGGGCGAAAGCCUGAUGCAGCGACGCCGCGUGGAGGAUGAAGGCUUUCGGGUUGUAAACCUCUUUCGCUAUCGAACAAGGCCCGCUUAGGGUGGGGUGAGGGUAGGUGGAGAAGAAGCGCCGGCUAACUACGUGCCAGCAGCCGCGGUAAUACGUAGGGCGCGAGCGUUGUCCGGAAUUAUUGGGCGUAAAGGGCUUGUAGGCGGCUUGUUGCGCCUGCUGUGAAAACGCGGGGCUUAACUUCGCGCGUGCAGUGGGUACGGGCAGGCUUGAGUGUGGUAGGGGUGACUGGAAUUCCAGGUGUAGCGGUGGAAUGCGCAGAUAUCUGGAGGAACACCGAUGGCGAAGGCAGGUCACUGGGCCAUUACUGACGCUGAGGAGCGAAAGCAUGGGUAGCGAACAGG